CAGCACCUCAAGUGGUCUGGAUGAUUAUUGGGCCUAAAGCAUCCGUAGCCGGCGCUGUAAGUUUUCGGUUAAAUCUGUACGCUCAACGUACAGGCUGCCGGGAAUACUGCAGCGCUAGGGAGUGGGAGAGGUAGACGGUACUCGGUAGGAAGGGGUAAAAUCCUUUGAUCUAUUGAUGACCACCUGUGGCGAAGGCGGUCUACCAGAACACGUCCGACGGUGAGGGAUGAAAGCUGGGGGAGCAAACCGGAUUAGAGACCCGAGUAGUCC
rnacentral:rRNA from 1 species